CAGCAGCCGCGGUAAUACGUAGGUGGCAAGCGUUGUCCGGAAUUAUUGGGCGUAAAGGGCUCGCAGGCGGUUUCUUAAGUCUGAUGUGAAAGCCCCCGGCUCAACCGGGGAGGGUCAUUGGAAACUGGGAACCUUGAGUGCAGAAGAGGAGAGUGGAAUUCCACGUGUAGCGGUGAAAUGCGUAGAGAUGUGGAGGAACACCGGUGGCGAAAGCGGCUCUCUGGUCUGUAACUGACGCUGAGGCUCGAAAGCGUGGGGAGCGAACAGGAUUAGAUACCCGCGUAGUCCCUGUCUCUUAUAC
rnacentral:rRNA from 1 species